UGUUUUUAGGUCAUUAUCACACAUCACAGGGAGUGUGGGGAUUUCCUGGGUAGGGUGAUACCUAAAGAAACAAGUCUGACAGAGAAAAGAUCCAGAGACAGGGCUGGCCUGUCCUAUAUUAUGAAACCUGCAGCCACAGGGGACCCCACAGCUAAAGGGCCCCCUGCACAUAGGCAGUGGAAGUGGGAGGCUAACAGGGCUCAGCCCCCCCAGCCACAGCAACAGCAGACAUUGCCUUAGGGCAGCCCGGCCACAGGGUCCUACAGCAGGGGGUAAGGGAUGGACACGCUGAGCUAUCCUGCGUGCUCACAGCCGGCCCAGCCACAGGCAGAAGCUAUUUUUUGAACGAGGUAUGCAAAGAAAUAUGGUACCAGCCUUCCUUAAGGAAACAACAGAGAAGCUGCUAUUUCCUGCCAGGCUCCCAGACCUAAACCUCCAGUGGAAGGAGACAGUAAAACCCAAGAGUCUGAGCAAGCCGGAACAGGGAAGAAAGAGUUGUCAGCUGGUUGAAGCUGAUACACAGACACAUGGCAACAUUCAAGGCCUUAAGGAAUUCAGCCUGCAACGUGCUUCUUGUUGGGAAACAAAUAAUAUGUUUGUAAAAUUGUAUGUGCUGAUUCUAUGAAACAAAGGAGUCUCCCAACCAGUGAAAUCAUCUCACUUGGAGCAGAUGGUAUGAAGUACAGCACCAGAACCAAAUCCAGCUUAAGGAGACUUCAAACAAUCAAGAGACAAAUCAUAAUAGCUCAGUGCUUGGCAACACUUUCACCUUUCACAGAUGUUAGAGGAGAAGCUAUUUUUGGAAGAAGGGUCAGAUUUUUUCAUAUUCUUGGUUCAAGAUCAGUCCUCUCAAGUGGAAUUCCUGCCAGCUGCUAAAUAUACGUAGAUUUACUCUCUUCACUACCCACACUUAGCCAUUUAACAAGCUUUAAUUUCAGACUCUGGCACCAGGUGAGAUGAAAGUCCUACAAACUUGUUUUCUCCUCCUGGACACAGCAGGACAUGCAUUUUUUAAGCUAUCCUCCCAGCCCCAUGUGAACAAAUCCUCAUGACAAAGAGGAAUGCCAGACAUUUUCCAAAAAUACAAAAUCCCUCUCCCUGUCUUCCCUACUGUUGAAAGAAACUCGGCCAUCCCCAACUCCACAUUCUUUCUCUCCAUCUGACUUUCCCAUCCCCACUCUUUAGCCUGCAAUGGGCGUGUCUACAUAUUCAUUAAUGUGCCAUAAUCAGCACUACUGCACAGUAGCAUUGGCACAUGCUUUUUUGUGAUACUAAUGUGCAGUAGACUAAUUAGUCUACUAGAAUUAGCCUACUGUGCAUUUAGCAUCUUGUGUAGAAGCACCCAGACAGUAGCAAAAGUACUUUUGUAAGUGCAGCCUCAGGUGGCUGAUUCUCUUUCUCUACCAUCAUGGCCUGGACCUUGUGGAGCAGGCACGGUUAAAAGCUCAGCUCUCCCUGAGCAUCUGCUGAGUGUACGGAGUAUGUCAGUGCAGGAACAUGUUAGCUCCAUGUGGCAGGGAGCACUUGAUCCAUCGUAAUAUUGAGUUACAUCACGAGGACCUCAACUAUGUGACCCAGAAUAUUUGACCUAAUGUCAAGAGGGGCCUAGGCCUAUUGAGAUAUUUCACUGAGACACCCUGGCCUCCUUCCACUAGUGGAAUCUGAUCCAGCAACAGGAAAGUGUGAGAAUUUUCAGCUGUCCCCAUCCCAUGUGAAACAGUCAAGGUAAGGACUUACUCUGCACUGUGUAUGUAGUAAAGGGGGCAUCUUCAAAGCUUUCUCCCUUUUUUUUUUCUUCUGAAGAGUCAGCUCUCCCACAUUUCCAUUCACUGACUCAGGUAACCUGCAUUUUUGCAAACCGUGCCAACAUAUAUUGUGCUGGUCCCCCAGUAUCUUCCUUCUCAAAGAUCCCAAAGUAUUCUAUAAGGUGGGGCCCAAGGCUGUAAGGUGCCAAAUGGCAUGAGAAUGAUGCUGACUAACUUCAUCUUUGCUGAAGUCAAUAGGGCUAGGGACAGACAUUCAAAAAGCCUAAGCCUGAAUUUAUUCAAUCUUUGCAGGUUAGUCUAAACUGGCUAGGCUAAAUCAGUUUGUAACCAGACAGACAUCCCAGAAAUGUAAGCACAUGCCUGCAGUGGCACAGGCUAGAAGCCGGGGGAUGCUAAAGCAGCCCUCCCUUCCCUUCCACAGCGCUGAGCUGAGGUGGGGCAUGGCCAGGUCCUAGCAGGACACUCUGAUUAGGGAGGGAUUCCCCCUACCCCCCCCACCCCGAAGCCCAGCAGGGAAUGUUUAUCACCCCUAACUCAGUGUUUAUCAGCCCAUUAAGAAAACUACAGAGGGACAUUACCAACUACCUGUUGAUUCGGCCUUUGUCCAGUGUGCCACAGCUCAGAGGUAGCCAGCAUGUGGUCUGCUAGCUAAUGCUGAGAAGUGUCUGUGAGGGACAGGGGAAUGCCUGCUUAGCAGAGAGUGGAGGGAGGAGGGGAGCAGAAACCAUGGAGAUGCCUGCCAGUCUCUGCCAGAGCUGCAGCCAGGUAGCAGAGGGGAAGGGCCAGCCCUGCUGUGAAACAGAAAGCCCCGCCCAGCCCAGAGAGCAUGCUGGGAUGCUGGGGGAGUCUGAUUUAAUUUAAACUAGCAAGGAGUCUGGGACAGACAUGGCAUUAACUGGUUUGAGCCAAAUCAGUUAAGUCUGAUACUACAUUCAACAAGGUUUAUCUCAAACCGGUUUCAGCCAUUUUCAGACUGGUUUGUGUGCAUUGAACAUCUGUUCCGUUACAGGUUUAAACCAGUUUCUGAUUACUUAAACUGCUUUAUGUGUAAUGUCUGUCCCUAAUCUAGGAGGUGGUGGUCUUCAGAAUCUUGCAGAAUCAGACCCUAUAAAGGCAGCCAUCUAUGGAAUGGAUCAGGGCAGCUGCUUUAACAGCAACAAGAGAAAUCCUAGACAAUAACACUGGAAGGGACCUCAAGACAACCCUUGAGGUUGAGAAGUGUGAAUGAGAACUGCAGAAGGACUUCAGAGCAGCAGAAUGGACUGGCCCAAUUUGGAAUCUUGCCAGGGCCAAGGCCGGCAUAUACAUGUGAAGUAAGCUAUGGGAACUCUAGUUCAGUCAGUACUUUACUUUUACCUCUUAUGCCAAAGGCAGGACCUUCUGCCAUAUGCUGUCCUCAAGUACUGGACCUGAGGCGUGGGUUCAGAGCCAUCUCAGACCAAAAGCACUGACUAAUUUGAAGAAACUUGUUGGCUCCAGCAAACUGAAAACCUCUACACUUUGCCUAAGCCACCUAAAAGGUCACUUAUGCAAAUGGAAAGGCAUCACUGAAUGAAUUCCAUCACUUCCUGAAGCACCCUGUGAUCUCCUUAGCAGUCUCCUAUCAGAGUACUACAUGAGCCUGUCCCAGUUUAAUGAGCUUAGUGAUGCUAAGUGAUUCUAGCUCCAAAAAUAUUUUUGUAAGGUUUAAGAUGGCUAGAAAAUACCAGUGUUAUCAGUGUGAAACUACUCAAACUAUGUCUGUCUAUAAGUCAUUCAGUAAGUCUAGACAGUCCAUCAAGGCUACUUCCUAAUGGUGUUUUCAAAGUAAUACUAAUAACAAUGCAAUGAAUAAAACACUUCCAAUCCAGUGUAAUACCAACAAUUAAAACAGAAUGUCCAUGUAAAAACAAAAAGACAAUAGUUUAAAAGGGGGUGCGGUUGCACUGGGGGCCAUGGGUGAUUGAGAACCCAGUGCAAUUCCCAUUAAAGAUGGAAGAAAGAAUCCCAUAGACUUUAAAAGCUAGAUUGGCACCCCUUUUUACACAUCUCCAAUGAUGUGGAAGGAUGGACUCUGCUGAAAGGCUCACAAGCAGCAAUUUCUACAUCCACAAGGACUAUGGCCACAGUUGUUCAAACAAUCACCCAUACGUGUUUCAAGGCUCCAUGCCUGACUGACAGCUGCCAGGAGAAUAAUCAUGAAGCUUAAAGAUAAAAUUACUUGAGAAAAUAGAAGCUAAAGAACUAUUUCAUUUCCGGUCUUGCUUUAUUUAAAAGCCAAUGGUGAUGACUGUAGUACUCUGUGUGUGUGUCUACACAAGAUGCUUUACUGCACAUAGUUCAGCUUACUGGGCAGUAAGCAUACACAUCUACACAUGUACAUGCUUACUGUGCAGUAAAACAUGCUACUCGAGUAAAUUUGCUACCUGCAAAUGCAAGU